UUUAAUUGAGCUUUCAUCAUAUGUUGUUGUAUUACCCUCAACUGUCUCACCAUCCUCAACAGUUUGCUUCUCGUUGCUUUUGAGAUUCAUCUAGUCUUUCCGGAAAGCCUUAUUGGUGUUAAAACAGAUCUUAUUUGUCUAAUGAGCUGUUUAACCAAAUCUAGAUCCUAUUCAGGCAAUUUUGCGCUCUUUCAAACUUUGUUGUUUGGAUAUAUCAACGUCAUUUUCAACUAUGAAAAGCUCUUUGGAGCUUCCGCUGCAGAAAUACAAGUGAAGAUUAUCUUUGGUUUUCUUUACUUUGAGCAAGCCUCUCAUGUUAACACCUCUAUUUUAGGAUUUAUCGUUUCACUGUACCGUCGAGUAUUGCCGUUGUAUCACUCCG
rnacentral:lncRNA from 1 species